rnacentral:rRNA from 1 species
GACAGAGGUGCCAAGCGUUAGGCGGAAUCACUGGGCUUAAAGCGUGUGUAGGCGGAUCGUUAAGUACCUUGUGAAAUCCCACGGCUCAACCGUGGAACUGCUGGGUAUACUGGCGAUCUUGAGCCACCUAGGGGCGAGCGGAACAAACGGUGGAGCGGUGAAAUGCGUAGAUAUCGUUUGGAACGCCAACGGUGAAAACAGCUCGCUGGGGGGUGUGCUGACGCUGAGACACGAAAGCCAGGGGAGCGAACGGG